UGAGUACGAGACGCUAAGGCGUCGAAGUAGUGUAUGUCAUACUUCCAAGAAAAGCUUGCACUGUCAUUCAUAAAAAAUGCCUGUACCAUAACCGACACAGGUGGGUAGGUAGAGUAUACUAAGGGGCGCGAGAUAACUCUCUCUAAGGAACUCGGCAAAAUAACUCCGUAACUUCGGGAGAAGGAGUGCCUUAUUUAUAUAAGGUUGCAAUAACAAGAUCCAAGCAACUGUUUACCAAAAACACAGGUCUCCGCUAAGUCGUAAGACGAUGUAUGGGGGCUGACGCCUGCCCAGUGCCAGAAGGUUAAAGAAGUUGGUUAGCAAUAGCGAAGCUGAUAACUGAAGCCCUGGUGAACGGCGGCCGUAACAAUAACGGUCCUAGGGUAGCGAAAUUCCUUGUCGGGUAAGUUCCGACCCGCACGAAAGGCGUAAUGAUUUGGAUACUGUCUCGGAGAGGGACUCGGUGAAAUAGACUUGUCUGUGAAGAUGCGGACUACCUGCACCUGGACAGAAAGACCCUAUGAAGCUUUACUGUAACUUGAAAUUGAAAUUGGACUUUAUUCGCGCAGUAUAGGUGGGAGGCGUUGAAAAUAAUCUUGCGGGACUAUUGGAGCCAUCAGUGAGAUACCACUCUUAUAAUGUUAGAUUUCUAACUUUGAAUCAUUAUCUGGUCAAAGAACAGUUUCAGGCGGGCAGUUUGACUGGGGCGGUCGCCUCCCAAACGGUAACGGAGGCGUACAAAGGUUUCCUCUGAACGGGUAGAAAUCGUAUCUAGAGUAUAAAGGCAAAAGGAAGCUUGACUGUGAGACCUACAAGUCGAGCAGGGACGAAAGUCGGUCUUAGUGAUCUGACGGUACUGAGUGGAAAGGCCGUCACUCAACGGAUAAAAGUUACUCUAGGAUAACAGGCUGAUCUCCCCCAAGAGUUCACAUCGACGGGGAGGUUUGGCACCUCGAUGUCGGCUCAUCGCAUCCUGGGGCGGUAGUACGUCCCAAGGGUUGGGCUGUUCGCCCAUGAAAGCGGUACGCGAGCUGGGUUCAGAACGUCGUGAGACAGUUCGGUCCAUAUCCGGUGUAGGCGUUAGAAUAUUGAGAGGAGCCUUCUUUAGUACGAGAGGACCGAGAAGGACAUACCUCUGGUGUACCAGUUAUCGUGCCAACGGUAAACGCUGGGUAGCUAUGUAUGGAGUGGAUAAUCGCUGAUAGCAUCUAAGUGGGAAGCCCACCUCAAGAUGAGUAUUCUCAUC
rnacentral:rRNA from 1 species